ACUGAAAUAGCUCAGUUGGGAGAGCGUUAGAUUAUAGAUAUAUAGGUCCCUGGUUCGAUCCCGGCAUUAGCA
rnacentral:tRNA from 1 species